rnacentral:rRNA from 1 species
AUUGAACGCUGGCGGCAUGCCUUACACAUGCAAGUCGAACGGCAGCACGGGAGCAAUCCUGGUGGCGAGUGGCGAACGGGUGCGUAAUAUAUCGGAACGUGCCCAGUCGUGGGGGAUAACGCAGCGAAAGCUUUGAUAAUACCGCAUACGAUCUAUGGAUGAAAGAUGGGGAUCGCAAGACAUGGCGCCAUUGGAGCCGUCGAUAUCAGAUUAGCUAGUUGGUGGGGUAAAGGCCCAACAAGGCGACGAUCUGUAGCUGGUCUGAGAGGACGACCAGCCACACUGGAACUGAGGCACGGUCCAGACUCCUACGCGAGGGAGCAGUGGGGAAUUUUGGACAAUGGGCGCAAGCCUGAUCCAGCAAUGCCGCGUGCAGGAUGAAGGCCUUCGGGUUGUAAACGGCUUUUGUACGGAACGAAACGGUCCUUUCUAAUACAGGGGGCUAAUGACGGUACCGUAAGAAUAAGCACCGGCUAACUACGUGCCAGCCGCCGCGGUAAAAC